rnacentral:rRNA from 1 species
UACGGGGGGAGCAAGCGUUGUCCGGAAUCAUUGGGCGUAAAGAGCGUGUAGGCGGGCCGGAAGGUCUGGUGUGAAAGCCCGGGGCUCAACCCCGGAGGGUCACUGGAAACCAACGGCCUUGAGUCCGGAAGAGGAGAGUGGAAUUCCUGGUGUAGCGGUGGAAUGCGCAGAUAUCAGGAGGAACACCAAUGGCGAAGGCAGCUCUCUGGUACGUGACUGACGCUGAGACGCGAAAGCGUGGGUAGCAAACAGG